rnacentral:rRNA from 1 species
UACGUAGGGUGCAAGCGUUAAUCGGAAUUACUGGGCGUAAAGCGUGCGCAGGCGAUUGUGCAAGACCGAUGUGAAAUCCCCGGGCUUAACCUGGGAAUGGCAUUGGUGACUGCACGGCUAGAGUGUGUCAGAGGGGGGUAGAAUUCCACGUGUAGCAGUGAAAUGCGUAGAGAUGUGGAGGAAUACCGAUGGCGAAGGCAGCCCCCCUGGGAUAACACUGACGCUCAUGCACGAAAGCGUGGGGAGCAAACAGG